rnacentral:tRNA from 1 species
AACCGAGAAGCUAAUGCAGCACCAGCCUUUUAGCGGAGACAGGAACACAUUCUCUCUUCGUUGCAA